rnacentral:rRNA from 1 species
AUGCAAGUCGAGCGGAUGACGGGAGCUUACUCCUUGAUUCAGCGGCGGACGGGUGAGUAAUGCCUAGGAAUCUGCCUGGUAGUGGGGGACAACGUUUCGAAAGGAACGCUAAUACCGCAUACGUCCUACGGGAGAAAGCAGGGGACCUUCGGGCCUUGCGCUAUCAGAUGAGCCUAGGUCGGAUUAGCUAGUUGGUGGGGUAAUGGCUCACCAAGGCGACGAUCCGUAACUGGUCUGAGAGGAUGAUCAGUCACACUGGAACUGAGACACGGUCCAGACUCCUACGGGAGGCAGCAGUGGGGAAUAUAGGACAAUGGGCGAAAGCCUGAUCCAGCCAUGCCGCGUGUGUGAAGAAGGUCUUCGGAUUGU